rnacentral:rRNA from 1 species
AAUUUUGGACAAUGGGGGAAACCCUGAUCCAGCCAUCCCGCGUGUAUGAUGAAGGCCUNCGGGUUNUNAAGUACUUUUGGCAGAGNCGAAAAGGUAUCUCCUAAUACGAGAUACUGCUGACGGUAUCUGCAGAAUAAGCACCGGCUAACUACGUGCCAGCAGCCGCGGUAAUACGAAGGGUGCAAGCGUUAAUCGGAAUUACUGGGCGUAAAGCGCGCGUAGGUGGUUCAGUAAGAUGGAAGUGAAAUCCCAGGGCUCAACCUUGGAACUGCAUUUUUAACUGCCGAGCUAGAGUAUGUCAGAGGGGGGUAGAAUUCCACGUGUAGCAGUGAAAUGCGUAGAUAUGUGGAGGAAUACCGAUGGCGAAGGCAGCCCCCUGGGAUAAUACUGACGCUCAGACACGAAAGCGUGGGGAGCAAACAGG